UCUCCCUCUCCCUCUCUCUGCCACAUAUUCAGGGAUGCAGGAAAAGUGAUACCACAUGUAUUGAUGUUGCCAGAGAAGUGACAGAUUAUAAUGAAAGUAUGACGCAUGGAUUAUUCACAAACUUUCUUAUGAAGCAGAAACAAAACCGAGGAAUCAAAUAAAAUGAAGAAACAAACCGACAGUGAUAGUAAAGAGGUAGUUCUUUGGUUCAUUGUGAGUGAAACAGAGGAUAACAAAAGAAAAUGGAAUUGGAUAAUCACCAUUUUGUCCCCCAACUGCUGGGUUUUUGAUGCUUUGGUUAACAACUCUAGCUUCCGGGAGGUUGGUGGACUAGCAAUUGAAUCACUGUACGUUACCAUCAAUCACAACAUCAACUUCAUGAUCUUCAUGCUCCAGUGGACGGAAAAUAUUUUGGACUGCAAAGUGAAUGGACGUACAUCAUCAUGCAGGGGUUUGCCAAUGGCACUUGAGAUCGACGUAAGAGGAAUUCAAUCUCUUCCAAGGACAGCUUAAUUAAUUUGCAGGUGUCCAUUAUGGAGGCUUCAAGUCCUUCUAGGUCUCUUUUCCUUAAAAAUAAAAAAUCUGAUCUAAGUAACUUCAAGGGUUGCUUGCUGAGUGGAGCAAGUAAGCUGGUUGGGCUGUGUUUCUUUGAAUUGUCGUUUGAUGGGAAAAACUGGUUUGGAUGGAAGGCUGUGGGAGGCUUUGGAGUGAGAGUGAAAAGGUAAUAUGUAUGAGUUUGGCUAAACGGGAUGGUGGUGGUGGUGGUGGAGGGGCUUGAAGUAUUGAAGUUUGAUGUCGUGGUCGAGAUGGUGGUGAUGGAACUUGGGUCAGUUUUUCAUUUCACCAAGGUGUACGGGGCAUUACCUAUUGCCCUAGCUGGUAGUGCAACUCCCUGAAGUCUAAACAGGUAUGCUUUGAGUCCCAAAGAUCAUGUUAGUAGACAACCGUGGAGACAUGUGUGGACCCCAUCAUGUGAUGGGGCUCACAGAUAAUCCGGUGAGUAGAUGAUUUCCUGGACUCUCGCAAUGAAUAGCAGCGCUCUACAAGUGGAAUCAGAACUUUUUUUUAUUGUUACCAGAAAGAUAAAUGGCCAGAAAAAACACACUCCAUGACGUAGUUAUACACAACAUAUAAUACCUUAUUUAGUGCACUUCUGUGCAGUCACUUAGUAUAUAUACGGUUCCGCACAAGCACCAAUGCUGGAAGUUUUUUGAUAGGAUAAACUUUUAUUUAAGAAAGCACAAUAAGUGAAUACAAUUGAAUUUAUAUAUAUAUAGCCACUCUCAAAUCCUAGUAUAUUAUUUUCUCUCACUACUUGUCACAAAAGGAUUCAAGAAUAUAUAUAUAAUUCUUUAAUCUUUCAAAAUACAUCAACAGAGAAAACAAAAGAAAACUCUAAAAUCACACAAAU